AAGUCGAGCGGUAGCACAGAGAGCUUGCUCUCGGGUGACGAGCGGCGGACGGGUGAGUAAUGUCUGGGAAACUGCCUGAUGGAGGGGGAUAACUACUGGAAACGGUAGCUAAUACCGCAUAACGUCGCAAGACCAAAGUGGGGGACCUUCGGGCCUCAUGCCAUCAGAUGUGCCCAGAUGGGAUUAGCUAGUAGGUGGGGUAACGGCUCACCUAGGCGACGAUCCCUAGCUGGUCUGAGAGGAUGACCAGCCACACUGGAACUGAGACACGGUCCAGACUCCUACGGGAGGCAGCAGUGGGGAAUAUUGCACAAUGGGCGCAAGCCUGAUGCAGCCAUGCCGCGUGUAUGAAGAAGGCCUUCGGGUUGUAAAGUACUUUCAGCGGGGAGGAAGGCGAUAAGGUUAAUAACCUUGUCGAUUGACGUUACCCGCAGAAGAAGCACCGGCUAACUCCGUGCCAGCAGCCGCGGUAAUACGGAGGGUGCAAGCGUUAAUCGGAAUUACUGGGCGUAAAGCGCACGCAGGCGGUCUGUCAAGUCGGAUGUGAAAUCCCCGGGCUCAACCUGGGAACUGCAUUCGAAACUGGCAGGCUAGAGUCUUGUAGAGGGGGGUAGAAUUCCAGGUGUAGCGGUGAAAUGCGUAGAGAUCUGGAGGAAUACCGGUGGCGAAGGCGGCCCCCUGGACAAAGACUGACGCUCAGGUGCGAAAGCGUGGGGAGCAAACAGGAUUAGAUACCCUGGUAGUCCACGCCGUAAACGAUGUCGAUUUGGAGGUUGUGCCCUUGAGGCGUGGCUUCCGGAGCUAACGCGUUAAAUCGACCGCCUGGGGAGUACGGCCGCAAGGUUAAAACUCAAAUGAAUUGACGGGGGCCCGCACAAGCGGUGGAGCAUGUGGUUUAAUUCGAUGCAACGCGAAGAACCUUACCUGGUCUUGACAUCCACAGAACUUAGCAGAGAUGCUUUGGUGCCUUCGGGAACUGUGAGACAGGUGCUGCAUGGCUGUCGUCAGCUCGUGUUGUGAAAUGUUGGGUUAAGUCCCGCAACGAGCGCAACCCUUAUCCUUUGUUGCCAGCGGUUAGGCCGGGAACUCAAAGGAGACUGCCAGUGAUAAACUGGAGGAAGGUGGGGAUGACGUCAAGUCAUCAUGGCCCUUACGACCAGGGCUACACACGUGCUACAAUGGCAUAUACAAAGAGAAGCGACCUCGCGAGAGCAAGCGGACCUCAUAAAGUAUGUCGUAGUCCGGAUUGGAGUCUGCAACUCGACUCCAUGAAGUCGGAAUCGCUAGUAAUCGUAGAUCAGAAUGCUACGGUGAAUACGUUCCCGGGCCUUGUACACACCGCCCGUCACACCAUGGGAGUGGGUUGCAAAAGAAGUAGGU
rnacentral:rRNA from 1 species